rnacentral:sRNA from 1 species
CUCAGCUGGCACCCAAGGGUCCUGAGGGUCCUGUUGCUGUCUUUUUCUUCUGCUUUCUCUCUCACCUACUCCCUUAGGUACCAUGUACUUGAGCCACACCAAACUUGGUACAUCUUUUCAUACCUGUGUGCUUCACACACGAAUGUCUCCAUCUGCUUUCUGUGAAUGCUGGGGCAAUAGGAUGGGCAUGGACUUGAAAUCCUGUUUCUCUGCCAUUUACAGUUAGGUGAAUGUGGGCAAGUUAACCCUCUGAGCCCCAGUUUUCUAAUCUGUAAAAUGGGAUUAGGCUUAUAUAAUGUGCCUCAGAUUGUAUGUAGCACAUGAGAGCCCCUCCCCACUCCUAAAAGUUGGUUUCUAACUCUCUUUGCAUGCCGAACUCCUAUUCAUCCUUGAAGACCCAACUCAAAUGUUACCUUCUUGGUAACAUUGCCCUCCUUCCCUUCAAGUGGGUAAAGUUUAUCUUUCUCAGUUUCUACUCUUUCCACCAGCCCUGCAUAGCACUUAUAAACCUCUGUUGGAAACACUGUCAUAUUUUUCUGUUUUCCUGGUUCACAUGAAUAAAGCACACAGCCAGAAAACAUUUGUUGCAUGAAUUAAGGCACUGGCCCCUGGGUUGAAAGCCUUUAACCCUACCCCUGCCCUGGGUCUAAGACCUUGCCCUGGGUCUAAGCCCUGGCACAAGAAUGCAGGAUCAGAGC